UCUUAUGCACAUGCCUACAACAUUAAUGCAUUGGAUCCCAUCAUAACUCCGUAGUUAAGUGUGUUUGGGCUAGAGUAGUAUUGGGAUGGGUGACCUCCUAGGAAUUCUUAGUGUUUUACAUGCC
rnacentral:rRNA from 1 species